GAUGAACGCUGGCGGCGUGCCUAAUACAUGCAAGUCGAGCGAACGGACGAGAAUCUUGCUUCUCUGAUGUUAGCGGCGGACGGGUGAGUAACACGUGGAUAACCUACCUAUAAGACUGGGAUAACUUCGGGAAACCGGAGCUAAUACCGGAUAAUAUUUUGAACCGCAUGGUUCAAAAGUGAAAGACGGUCUUGCUGUCACUUAUAGAUGGAUCCGCGCUGCAUUAGCUAGUUGGUAAGGUAACGGCUUACCAAGGCAACGAUGCAUAGCCGACCUGAGAGGGUGAUCGGCCACACUGGAACUGAGACACGGUCCAGACUCCUACGGGAGGUAGCAGUAGGGAAUCUUCCGCAAUGGGCGAAAGCCUGACGGAGCAACGCCGCGUGAGUGAUGAAGGUCUUCGGAUCGUAAAACUCUGUUAUUAGGGAAGAACAUAUGUGUAAGUAACUGUGCACAUCUUGACGGUACCUAAUCAGAAAGCCACGGCUAACUACGUG
rnacentral:rRNA from 1 species